CCCGAAAAUCUCCACAGCAGCCGCCGUUAAACGCUCAUUUAAGAACAGGCGCAACAUUUGUAAUGUAGACAUGUUUAGUCGACUGAGAGAACUGAGAGACGGCUAGGCCAUGGUGGAAGACACCGGCUGUUCACACCAGAACAGGAGACCGCUAUUGUGAACAUGUGCAACCGAAUCCGGAUGAAACAGGUCUACAGGGUGCCAUUAGAGCGAAACUCAGAGAGGGUUAAAGAACAUCGCUAUGKAUAUGUGCAAAGUCUUGGAGCUGGAUGCCGCUGCAAUUCAGCACGUUUAUAUUUACAUUGAUGAGGCUGGCUUCAACCUAGCCAAAAGAAUGGGACGGAACAUUAUUGGCCAUUGUGAAUGUGCCUGGACAGCGUGGAGGGAAUAUCACCAAUUGCGCAGCCAUUAGCCAGCAAGGCGUCCUCCAUCACCAUGCCAACCUUGGUCCAUACCACACCGCCCUUCUCAUCACAUUCCUGGACACACUACAUGGCAUCCUCAUUCCAGCCGAGUAGAGGGGUGGACCAGAGCAGCCCAGGUAUGUUGUCAUCUGGGACACUGUGAGUUUCCACCGGGCUGCUCUGGUCCGCAACUGGUUCAUCGACCAGCCACAAUUUAUUGUUCUAUACCUCCAAUCAUAUUCCCCAUUCCUAAACCCAAUUGAAGAGUUUAUUCCGGCAUGGCGAUGGAAGGUGUAUGACCACCAUCCCCUCGCACGCAUGCAUCUUCUCCAGGCAAUGGAGGAUACACGUGGUGAAGUUGAUGUGGGGGCUUUCGGCGGCUGGAUCCGUCACUCCAGAAGAUUCUUUCCCCACUGUUUAUUCAGGGAGAACAUCGCUUGUGAUGUAGAUGAGGUGCUGUGGCCAGACCAAAAUAGGAGGCAGGAUGCAGCCUAAUGUCUUUUUUCUUACAUUUUGCAUGUGUUUUUGUGUUUAGAGUUUUGAAAGAAUGAGCCACUUUCAUUUUUUAAAUUUUUGUACAGAAAACCCUUUAUCUUACUGAAUGUUUUUCUCCUGAAAGUGUUACAUACAAAACACAAGUGUUCAAAAAUACUGCAUGUUGGGAAUACAUUACAAUGUUUUUGUUACUGUAUUGCAUUUGUGUGUGUUUGAGUAGGUAUACAUUAUUGUAACAAUCUUUUACAACCUGCUACAGUGUAACACUGAAAAGGCAUAAACCUACUAAUGGGAUAUUCAUAGUAGUGUUUUGUGUUAAUCACAUCAGUGUGUUGUUGGUUGGUAAACAGAUCUAUUCAUACGACGCGUGUGUGUCAUUUUGGAAAGAGAGAAAACUGUUUUGAAUUUAGUGUUUGCUUUCGCUUUUCAGUGUUGUCGUUUUCUGCUUCGUGUUUUGGGAAAAUGGGCCAAAGAUUCAGCAGACGUGUGGAAACAAUUGUGGAAAAUUGUAAGAAAAAAAUUGAAAUCUUCGACAAAUGGAAGGAGAUCUUUUCUGGAAAGUAUAUAUAUUUUAUGUAUCAAAAACAUCAGUCUGACCAUCACCCUGAGAGACAUUACAAUACAAACAAGUAGAAGAGGAGAAGUCCAGUGGCUAUAUGACUCAGGCUGGUUCCUAUACUUGCCCUCUACAAGAUCAUCAGCAGACUCUAUAACUGUCUUCCAUCCUCUGACCAGCUCUCUCUGCUCAAGCCAUGAACUGACCCUCUCCAUCUUGGGUGGAUGCAGCAUUCAAAGACUUGGCCUCUAUUGAUUGACCUGGCCUGAUAUGUUGCUUGUUUGUUUUUUGCUCUUGAACCCCUUUUAGAUUCUAUGAAAAGCACUAUAGAAGUUGAAUAAAUUAUUAUUAU